AUAGGGGCAAAAAAAAAAGUCGAAAAAUUGUUCUCCAAAUUAAGGGUGGAACAAGUUCCAAAUUGGUACCAACUUUUUUUUUUUUUUUUUUUUUU
rnacentral:ribozyme from 1 species